AAAUUCUUGAUUCUGUAAUUUGGUUGUUUGACUAUUAGUGCAUAAAGUAUACAAGUGGCCCUCAAAAAUUUUUCUGUGAUUAAAGUAGCCCGCAAUGUAAUUCAAGUUGGCCAGGCUUGGGUUAGUGUAUCUACUCUGUGUGUGUGUGUGUGUGUG